rnacentral:siRNA from 1 species
AUGCUUCAUGAACGUGGAGAUGC